rnacentral:rRNA from 1 species
AUGCUGAGAGGUCGAACGGACGCGGAGCUGCUCCGGCUGACGAGUGGCGGACGGGUGAGUAACGCGUAGGAAUCUACCCAGUAGGGGGGAUAGCCGGGGAAACCCGGAUUAAUACCGCAUACGCCCUACGGGGGAAAGGGGGCCUCUUCAUGAAAGCUCUCACUAUUGGAGGAGCCUGCGUUGGAUUACUAGUUGGGGGGUAAAAGCCUACCAGGCGACAUCCAUAGCUGGUCUGAAGGACAUCACCACCGAACUGAACACGGCCAACUCCUACGGGAGGCAGCAUUAGGAAUUUGUGCAGGGGAAACCCUGACACAGCCUGCCGGUGUGUAAAAGGCCCUAGGGUUGUAAAGCUUUCAGUAGGGAGGAAUUAGCAAGACUAAUACUCUUGUGAAAUGACGUUCCUACAAAAAGAUCCGGCUAACUCCGUGCCAGCAGCCGCGGUAAUACGGAGGGAUCGAACGUUGAUCGGAAUUACUGGGCGUAAAGCGCGCGUAGGCGGCUUGUUAAGUGGGAUGUGAAAGCCCCGGGCUCAACCUGGGAACUGCAUUCCAAACUGACAGACUUGAGUACGAUAGAGGGGGGUAGAAUUCAGAGUGUAGCGGUGAAAUGCGUAAUAUUCUGAGGAAUACCGGUGGCGAAGGCGGCCCCCUGGAUUGAUACUGACGCUGAGGUGCGAAAGCGUGGGGAGCAAACAGGAUUAGAUACCCUGGUAGUCCACGCCGUAAACGAUGUCUACUAGCCGUUGGGAGGCUUGACUUUUAGUGGCGAAGCUAACGCGAUAAUAGACCGCGGGGAGUACGUCGCAAGAUUAAAACUCAAAUGAAUUGAGGGGGCCCGCACAAGCGGUGGAGCAUGUGGUUUAAUUCGAUGCAACGCGAAAAACUUACAGGCUUGACAUCCAGAGAACUUACCAGAGAUGGUUUGGGCUUCGCACUCGAGACAGGUGUGCAUGGCUGUCGUCAGCUCGUGUCGGAGAUGUGGGUCCCGUAACGAGCGCACUUUGCGCAGUAGGGACUUAAACUGCCGACAAAAAAGAUGCAGUCAUCAUGUCCACGGCCACC